UACGGGGGGGGCAAGCGUUGUUCGGAAUUACUGGGCGUAAAGGGCUCGUAGGCGGCCAACUAAGUCAGACGUGAAAUCCCUCGGCUUAACCGGGGAACUGCGUCUGAUACUGGAUGGCUAGAGGUUGGGAGAGGGAUGCGGAAUUCCAGGUGUAGCGGUGAAAUGCGUAGAUAUCUGGAGGAACACCGGUGGCGAAGGCGGCAUCCUGGACCAAUUCUGACGCUGAGGAGCGAAAGCGUGGGGAGCAAACAGG
rnacentral:rRNA from 1 species